rnacentral:tRNA from 1 species
UCUUUAAUAAGCUAAGUAAGCUGUUGGACUCAUAAUCCAAAAAUGAUAUAAUCUUAAAGAA